AUAUGGUUUAAUGAAUUCAUUUAUACUUUAUCAAUCACUGCAUGUACAUAUCCUUUGUGUUUCAAAUGCUAUUCUUAAGUAACAAGUUAUUGAAAAGCAAGUAAAGUAUUUCCAGUAACUUUACACAAAAUGAGUUGCUGUAUUUCUUGCUUUCAGUUCAAUUACUUCAGAUGAUCUGUAAAUUUUCAAUAAUGGCAAUACAUUCAUUCUGCCAUUUGGAGGAGCCUGUGCCACAGAAUAAUGAUCUGAAGAAAGCUCACUCAUUUGCAAGGAAGAGACUUCAUUUGGGAAUUAUCACUGAUGCAGCUCAUGGGUGUUUUUUCAAGUCCAGUGCAGCUGGAAUUGGCAGAUGCUUUUUCAAACAACCAAGCAAAGUGCAGGUGUGGGUUGCUUGUCAGAAAUCCGUUCUGAAGCUUGAGUGCAAAGGAAGCAGGGUACUAAUGAUGAAUACGAAUGGAUUUCUUGAGGAUAACAAUGGAUCUUCAAAAGCAGUGGCAUUCUGGUUGCCUCAGUUUCUUCUCCUGAGUCUCAGAAAUCUGGAAUAG
ensembl:lncRNA